GAAGUUGGGCUUGUUUAAAGAAAACCGAUGGCAGUUUUGUAAAUUAUAGGAAAUUCAAAGCGUAUUUGUUAUGUUGUAAAUGGAUUUUGGGUGUGUUUCUAAAGUUCAUUUCAUGUAUGAUUUUUUUUAUACAAUUUGAGCCCUUAUAUUAGAUAUAAUAGUAAGACUCCCUUUACAACAGUGGAGAAUUUUCCGCAAUGGGCCAAAGCCUGACGGAGCAAUGCCGCGUGGAAGUAAUGACGGUAUCUGGGGAAUAAACAUCGGCUAACUCUGUGCCAACAGCCGCAGUAAUACAGAGAAUGCAAGCGUUAUCU
rnacentral:rRNA from 1 species